GGGGGCGACCUGGCUUCGACGUGGAUUACAAAGCUCGAGGAGCAUGCCGAGGUGCGGUUUACCUCGUAAAACUAAUCGUAAAACUAUAUACGCCAACGACGACGUAUACGCUCUAGCCGCUUAAUCGGCUAAGCCUCCUGACCGGUUCUUGUCUGUAAGUCCGGAGGUCGCAAGACCACUCAGGGGUCAUCCAUUACAGAAUCGCCAAACGCUUUGCCCGAAAGUGAAUGGCUAAAACCUUAGGGAUCGCCCGACAGUAUCUCGUCCUCCGGAGACUGAAAGGUUAAAACCAAAUGGAACGACUAAGCAUGUAGCGCCAACAGCGGCGGAUUUGCGGACGGGGGUUCAAUUCCCCCCGCCUCCACCA
rnacentral:tmRNA from 1 species